GACGAACGCUGGCGGCGUGCUUAACACAUGCAAGUCGAACGGAAAGGCCCUGCUUUUGUGGGGUGCUCGAGUGGCGAACGGGUGAGUAACACGUGAGUAACCUGCCCUUGACUUUGGGAUAACUUCAGGAAACUGGGGCUAAUACCGGAUAGGAGCUCCUGCUGCAUGGUGGGGGUUGGAAAGUUUCGGCGGUUGGGGAUGGACUCGCGGCUUAUCAGCUUGUUGGUGGGGUAGUGGCUUACCAAGGCUUUGGCGGGUAGCCGGCCUGGGAGGGUGACCGGCCACCGUGGGACUGAGGUACGGCCCAGACUCCUACGGGAGGCAGCAGUGGGGAAUAUUGCACAAUGGGCGGAAGCCUGAUGCAGCAACGCCGCGUGCGGGAUGACGGCCUUCGGGUUGUAAACCGCUUUCGCCUGUGACGAAGCGUGAGUGACGGUAAUGGGUAAAGAAGCACCGGCUAACUACGUG
rnacentral:rRNA from 1 species